CCCCCCCGCGUCUGGCUGGAAGGAGCACCUCCUCGCGCAAACGCAUCCUUCAUCCUGGAAAAAACUUAUUUAUUAUGUUCGACUUCCUAAACAAAUAGCACGUUUCUGUAAACCGGGAGGUUAGAGUUCUUCUUUGGUCUGCAGCCCAUCCAGGUGGUAGCGGUGCAGUGGGCCAACAGAAGUCACCUGUGACCUGAAGGCACCAGGACACGUCUGAUGAAGGUCCCCAGGACCUUUGAAGAUCUGGCUGGAAAAGAAGAAACAUGUUAUUGAUUGACUUCAGUGGAACUACUCGGUGUUAUUUUCAACUACGUUGUCAAGUUAGAAGGUAUGCCAGGUUCUAGCUCUUAAAAGUUAAUUUAUUUGUGAUACUUUCCUUGCUGCUAGGGUUAGAUGUAACAACACAGGAGCAAACCAUACAGCAUUUCUGGGACGGACCAAGCUCUAAAAGUGCCUGAGGGUUUCAUUCACGUCCAGUCUCUCCUUUCUCUUUGAAUCUUACACCUGUAGAAGCAGGUGCCAAAGAUGCCAUGCGUUUCCAUUGUGUUUUAGUCUCUGCUUACCCACUUUCUGAGUCAUUGGGUAUAAUACGAACUGUAAACACCAGUAAAGAAACUAAAGUGGCAGGCCACGCUAGUUUUUUUAGCCAUGUGACAGCAGUUUUCAAAUCCUAAUAGAAAAAUAGUAGUAGUAGUAGCGUAAAACACCGCUUCUUGAAUAUGCUUAGAGCACCUUGGCUACUCUAUAUAGUAUAUUAUAUAUAUAUACACUAUUCUAUACUUAUUCUAUAAGUAGCAAAGUUUUACUCAAGCUCAAACUAUCCCAACAUACGCAGCAUACCAAGAGAGUAGAUGUUUGCAGAGCACUCACUUUCCAAAGCAGGAGAUUUCGUGACCUGUGGAGACUUAGAGUAUAACUCAUUCCGCUCAACACCCCUGUCUGUAAGUUGUCACCUAAUGAAACAAAAGCGUGGUUCUUUAAAACCCACACUAAUGUCUCAUAUGACAAAUAGGAAUAUUUUGAUAGAUAUCUCCUUUGAUUUAUGUUUCAGAAAAAUAUAAACAUUUUUAUAUUGGAAACAGAAUCAGAAUUCUGCUCUGUAACAUUGAUUAUAAAAGGCUUUAAAUGUUCUCUUUCAAAAAGAAAAUGCCUACAUCUGAGUCUCGUCUAUGCGUAAAUUCACAUAGUUAGUAAAAAGCGUCAAUCUUAUGUGGAUUUAAAGAAGCCAGUACAAAACUCUUUUAGAACAUUUAAAUCUACUAGAAUUUGAUUUACAUCAUUUUGGGUGGUCUAAGCAAAUGUAUAUAUAUCAAAUGUAUCAAUUUUGAGUGAGAGCUGAUACGUUAAAUGGCCUUUAUAAUCUGCAGUUCCUGCAAGGACUGGCUGUUUAGUGAUAUCCAAGCAGUUUAAAGUUUCAAAUUCAAAAUAGUUCUUUAAAAACUGUGAAAUCUAUAUUUGCAAUCCUCUUUGCAAUCGCAUAUUUUUUCAGUUUUUUCUUUUUUUUUUUUAUUUGAUUAGAAGAGAUGAAGAUCCUCUGGUUUUAUACCACCUAUUUCAAAUAGUAAAGGCCUUUUUAUCAUUGAAAACUCAGUAAGGACUUUUAAGCAGAGUGCUUUAAAAGGAUGAUUGUAGCAGCUGUUUUGACCCAAUAGCUCCUCCUGUUGUGUUUAAAUAUUGCAUCAGUAUUGGGCUCUUUUCUUUUUUCUUUCCUUUUCUUUCCUUUUCUUUCCUUUUCUUUCCUUUUCUUUCCUUUUCUUUCCUUUUCUUUCCUUUUCUUUCCUUUUCUUUCCUUUUCUUUCCUUUUCUUUCCUUUUCUUUCCUUUUCAUGCACAAGUUCAAACCAAGAAUAAGCUGACUCGGUCCUUUUUGUGGUGUUCUGGAGAUUUUCAAAAUAUGUAUUGUUUUCUGAAUUUAUUAAAGAGUUGAUGGUGCUGAAGAGAAAAUGACAAUGUUUUCUGAAAAAAAUAUAAUAAUCAAUGCAGCUGGAACAGUCACAGAGAGAUUACUCAAGUAUUAAGUUUUCUUUGCCACUCAGCCUCUGAUUUAAAUCAUCAAGAGUCAAAGCAAGGCAUUAAGAUGUCCCCUUUUGUAAGGGGACAUCCCUUCUGCUGGGGACAUCCUCAUGUCUACUGACGUACACAUGGAGAGGAAGAAGCUCAGAGUGGGAACACGGACCAAACUGUGUCCUCUCACAUCAGCACCAAUAAAAGCUUGGGAAAGAAAAGGCUGUGCCUGCCUCGUGACAAGUCCAUGACUAGGAAAUUAGUGGCGGGGUGUGUGUGUGUGUGCAAAUUGUGGCUUUCUGAAUGGCAUCUUCCAAAGUGUCACAAGUUGACCUACCCAGCACCAUCCUGAGAAACAGAGAAGUCUAGGGAAAUUCUCAAAACCAUGGUAAGCCUCUCAAAAAUCCCAAGCUGGGUGUAUGCUUUGUCUGACACGAAGUUGUGGCUCCUCUUUAGGUUGUCAUCUGUUCAGAUGCAGGUUGCCAAGAUGCGUACCUCAGAGGCAAAAAAAUAUACUUACAGUAGUCAAUAGAAACAACCUGGUGAGCUACAGAGAAAGCAUCAGCUCUCUGGUUAUAAUCUUGCCUUGAAAAUGCGUAUUUUGCAAAGAAAUUCUCUUGGGUGCGUCUGUUGCUGUUGGUGUCGCUGAUUAUUUAGGUGGGCUUCAUGUUACUUUACCAGUUUCGUGCUCGUGCUUCUCGGAUAUCGCUUUUGUGAUUGGUAAAGAAGUUUUCAGCGAACGCGGAAGUGUUGUUGAGUGAAACGUACUUGACAGCCAUUAUUCCUGAAGUAAUCCUGUAUGUUCGAAAUUUGGCAUUUUUCUGUCUUUUAAAAUGUAUUUUUAUUUACAGCCCAUCGGGGAAUUUAUUUUCUAUUACUUUGAUUUUUGGCGAGCCAUUAGCAAAAACUGAACAAUUUGUGGGUCCGUAUUUCAUUCCUGAACUAUGCGAAACUGGCAAAAAUACCGAACCCACUACUUGCAUUUAAAAAAAGCUUCUAUUAGAAUAUAUGUGUAUAAAAAGACUAUAACUCUGUGCUUAUUUUAUUUUCUUCAUAAAGUUGUCAUCCUGCCUACAAGAUCGGUUUACAACUGGAAAAGUCAGAAUUUAAUGACUAAUUCUGUAACACGAAAAACAUAUGGUCUCCAUAAUCAUUACAUUCUUAAUGAUGUGGCUUGGACAGAGUCAUUCAUGGCUUGUAGAGUCAUUCGUCCUUGAAAACUGCCUUACCUUGGGGAGGUAUCGCUGAUGGUCUCCAACAUGCCAUUAACGUUCUUUCAUGAGGAAAGACAAUGCCAAGUGUAUCGUAUUUUCUCAGAUGACAGCCUUCCUUAGGCUGUAUGGACACCUCCUUUAAGUGCUUAGAA